rnacentral:lncRNA from 1 species
CCGCCACUGAGCAACGUGUUUUCCGUGAAAUAAAACUAAAAGGCUCCUGGUCUCUGUUUACCAGGUAGAUAAAGAAAUCAUAGUCAUCAAAAGUAGCAAAGUGUUCAUUAAACUUGAUACAAAGUAUAUAUUUAGGUGUCUGAAUGUUUCCUGAUGGAAGCAUUUUCAAGGGCAUUUGCCUCAGCUAUGGGAACCAAACAUUUACAUGAAGGAAGGUUUAGAGGUGAACGUCCACUGCGGAGGUCGGAGAAGCACUCAGGUCAGCGGGCAGAGCGGCUAGUCGGUGGGCCGAGCUCUCUGCUACCCCCGCAGGAGUGUCCCGACGCCAUCCCAGAAGCAGCACCUGUGGGCCACGGCGUUUGCUUAGAGCCUGGACUGAGGCUGCCUGGACGGGGCCCCUCACCCGGCCAGAGUUAGGGGUGCCGCUGCCACCCCCAUGGACCCGCUUCGGGCUGCUCAGUCCUUGUUCAUUUGCAUCCAUCUUGGUUUUUAGGAAGGCAAGUUUCUCAGGAGCUCAGAAAAUUAAUUUCGUAGUGAUUAGGCUAUCCCCAGAGUAACACGUUCCAACUGUCACCAGCACGGACUUCUCAUGAAGCCUGGGACCAUUUGCAAGGACUCCCGGGUGUGUGUGUGUGUGUGUGUGUGUGUGUGUGUGUGUGUGUGUUUUCCUGUGUCCUCUGAGUAGACACCGCUAUGAAUGUAGACUUGAGGUUUCUUGGCAAACAUGUGUCCUCACUUAUGUGGCUGAGGAUUCUUCCCCGACUCAGGAUGCAAGUGCCAGGGGACCCGAGUCUCCGGGGAAAGCUGGGUGCAUGCACGGUUCUUUGAUCCGUCAUUUGAAUAAUUAGCUCUUAAUUAGCUGUCUGAGUAUGAUCAUCAGCUUGAAUGUAAGUUUCUUUAGAGGACACUGUGCUUUCCCAUCCUGGUAAGUGGCGAUGAUGGGUUUCUGGGUAUGAGGUUAAUUUGAGGAGGAAUUCUCACCUCCUAGAGCCUGGCAGACAGCAGUCAUGUGGCGCGUUAGCCAAUUACCGGGAAAGCUUCCUGUGCCCGGACGGAAUCUGCUUCCAGGAGCUGGGGGAGAGGAGGCUGCACAUUGCUCCUGGUCACUGCCGGCGCCUUCUGUAUCCUCUGACCCACCCUCCUACGGGAGGGAACGUCUCCGCUGGGGAAGACGACCGUGUGGGCUCAUCUCCAGCCACUGUGGUGACUAUUGUCGUCCCCUUCACUCCGGAUGCUCUUUCCCCCAUGGCCAGAUGCCAGCAGGGUUUGUCCCCAGGACCCUGCAGGAGAUCCCCUCUUCAUCAUCCUGGGAGUGUGACGUGGUCUGCUAAGCAAAGCUCCUUCCCUGCAGCAGGUGAGUCCUAGCUCAGAGGACACGGACGGUGAUUUUCCAACUGUCGUGCUCAGAACAAACUUUCACAUCCAAGAAAUGUUGCAGACAUCCUAGAAAGGAUGAAUCAAACCCACAGGCCCUCAGGCCCCCAUGCAACACUGUGCUGCCUUGGCACAGAAAUAUUUACAGCAGAGUUCCCGUGUGAGCCUGCAGACACAGCAACCAUUUUUUAUAACAGUUCUCCAAAGUCUCUCCUCUUGAAAACAGAGCAAGUUGCACCCUGGUCUCCGUAUCACAUCGGCCUGCAGUUUCACACGAUCUGCUUGGUUCGGAGUGCUGUCUUUCAGACCUGGCUGUGGCCACAUGCUCCUCACAGCUUGCACAUCCCUCAGUCUCGGCACCACGCCACACGGGAGGGGUUCCACCACGUCUCUGAGCUUAGGGUGGCCGGUGGUGCCCAGGGGAGGGGGAAGCCCGUGGCAGGCGUGGGAUGGAUUUGCUGAGUGACUCUAACCACUCCUUAUGGAAUGAGCACCACCUCGCCAGGGGCCUUGUCCUUGCCAUCCUGGGGCCACACGUGUGGCUGCAAGGUCCCUCUGGCAAACCUCCUUUCCCUCUGGGGCUGGUUGAGGACUCCAGGGGGCCAGCCUGGAGACCAAGGCCGUGCUGUGUGGUCAGCAGACCAGUGAGGAGUCAGCAGACCAGUGAGGGGUCAGCGUUCUGCUGUGGCUGCCUGGACUCCUCUUCCUCUCAAGACAGCAGUGUCUGGGGACUGCCAAAACCUCUGCAGGGACCAGCAGCACAGGAUCACAGAAUUCCACACUUCCUGCUAAAUCGGGGUCUCCUUUUCAUCCGUCACAUCUCCCUUCCCGACUGCACCAUCAACAUCAGUUCCUCAUCUCCACAGCCACCAAGGGCAGCUCAGCUCAAGCUCUAGGACUGGCCACCCCUCUUCCUGGACUGUGAUGAUGGAGAGAGGCCCCAGUCCCAGGCAGCCACGAGGACGGCGCCUGUCCAGACACACAAAGCAAGGGCCCCGCAGGAGAAGCAAGCCUCCCUCACUCCAGAUGCCUCGCCAUGAAGCCGUACACCCACCCAGCCGACCUGCACGCGAGAGCUGCUCAUUCGUUUUUCGGCUCGGCAGCUGCACGACCUUGUGCUGAGGCAGUGAUGCUGCCGGGCGGUUCCACGGCCUCUCUCCCCAGGGCUCUGAGUGUCAGGUGGGGGUCCAGGCUGAGGCUCAAGUCAGGUCUGCUCUGUGUGCCCCUCACUCUGCUGAGCUCCAGGCAUGUUUUUCCUGAAGCCGAUUCCCUGGAACACAUUGCAGGGCCUGCGGACAUCCACCAGCGUCCACGUGGUCAAAGCCCACCUUAGUGGGGUGGAGAAAAAUGUUCCUUCCAUGGCCAUCAGGAGCAGGGCUGACCAUCGCAGGGAGGGCUCACAUCUGCCCAGUCUCUGCCAGCGAGUCUCCUCUCAGAUCCCACGUGGGCACUCCCUCCCCACCCCUUCGUCUCUAAGAUUAAAUCCAGGUGCCUUGAGCCCCAGUCCCCAUGUUCCCCUCAAACCCCUGUUCCUCCCCACAGAGACACAUGGCUCCAGCUCCACACCCGAGCACCUGCUGUUUACGGUUUGUGCUGACCGGAUGCUGUUUCUCCUUCCAUCUCCACCUGCAAAUGUUCUGCUGACCCUCAGGCCGGUUUGAAGACCAGCACAGCCCAUGUGAGCAGGGCACAGGGCCCCAUCCUGAGUGGCUGGCCUGUCCGGGGGAGGAAGUUCCACCCCACACCCACCCCACCACCACAGGAUGUGCCCAGAAGGCGGAGGGACUGGCCACUGUGGGGGCUCCCAUGUCCAGGCCGGGCCUCCUCAGCAUAAAAUCAGCUGACAGCAGCCUCAACGCGCCACUGCCUGAGAGGACACCGCCUCUCCAAACCUGGGAAGAAGGCAGCCACGCCCUGGGGAGGGAACAGGUGGAGGUGGGUGCCAGGACUAGCCAGGACUUCCUCCCAAAUAUUUAGAAACUUGAUUGCAAUGAAAAGAUAGCAUCACUGAAUUAAAGACGUCAUUUAUUAUGGAGCUGAGAUUUGGUUUGCCCAGCAGCUUAAAACAAUGUCACUCACAGCCUUGUGGCACCUUGGGACGGGCAGGUGCCUACACAAUUAUUUACUUAAGAACAUACCUUCCUUUAAAAUAACCAAUGUUGUACUUAGAUAAAUGUAUUUAC